rnacentral:rRNA from 1 species
AUGCCCGGAGAUCUUAGCCAGUGGAUAAUGAAGCAUUACGACCCUGAGAUUUCGCAGAUAGUCAUUCCAGAAAGGGGGAAGAUUCCUGUAGAUGCCGCAAGUGUCCGUAGGAUAUGCGGUUUGCCAAACAGGGGCAAGAAGGUGUGCUUCGAGAAUCGGCCUGAAAUCACAAAGGCAAUGUACAGUAUUUACAACAUCACAUCCAAGAACUCCCCAACCCUCACAGAAUGGUGCAAGAUGAUCAUAGACAUGGGAGGAUCUCAUGAUGAUGACUUUGUCCGCGCUUGGCUAGCUCUUGUUUUUUCGUGCUUCCUUGCCCCUUCAACUAGUUUGAGUAUUUCCCCAAAGAGCUUCCCGGCGGUCAUGGAUGUCAAUGGAAUAACGGAAACCAAUAUAUGCCAGUUUGUUGUUGAUCAACUAAAGCUUGCGUUCACUUCGGGGCGUGCCAACAAGAAGGAUGUUUGUUGUUGUGUUUUCCACCUUGUUCUGUUGUACCUAGACUCUCUGGAUGUUGAUGAGCCAAUCCCGAACUUGGUACCAAGGGUUUCAGUUUGGAAUUCAGAUUUAAUUUCCAAAGUUAUCAAGAAGGACAGGAAGGCUCCAAGAGAAUACGGCAAAUUGCGGCUCAAGAUGGAGUUUUUCCGGUGUGCGGAUGAUAGCUUGUUUGGCAGUAUGGACCACAUCACCAAAUUUGUUGCCACAAGAUUGCCCGAGUUGUAUGACAAAACACAAAAGAAGCUCACAGGGUUGGUGCACGAAAUGUGUUCCGUAAUUUCACAUGCAGUGGGGAAGCUCGUGACUGGGGUUGGGAAGAUAGAUGAUGAUGAAUGGGGGACAAAGGAGGCAGAUCCUACUACUGUGGAGACAAGCAGGCGGCAGUCUAAUAGAAGGGGCAAGCGAGUACCAACCGGAAGAGACAGCUUAGCAAGUGAGGAGGAAUCGUUUAAUUCCGACAGCGACGACAGCGAGGCAGCCGAUAGUGAAAGCGAGGGAGAUGGCAGGGAUAAAGGUAGUGAUGAAAGCGAUAGCGAUGGCAGUGCAGACAACGAUGAUGGUAAUGAUGGAUCAAGUGGAGUUCAGGGGAUAUCAAGUAGCCAGGGAGCACGACAAAUGGUGGAUCACCACGAGGGGGCAAGUGCUGACAUGGGGAGGGAAGACGGAACUGAGAGGAAUGAGGACAAUGAAGAUGAUGAUGAAGAAGAGGAUGACGAAAAAAAGAAGAGGAUGAAGGAAAGGAGGACGAUGACGAUGAAGAAGGCGAUGGGAAUGAUAAAGACAAGGAAGAUGAUGGGCAGGGGAAGCAGGAUGAAGAUGAUGAAGAUGACAGUGGAGGUGGCAACGGUGGUUCAGGCAGCAAUGGUGGCUCCGGUCGGGAUGAGGAUCCCGUAG